ACAGCCCGGUAGUUGAAAUAGCUUUCCCUCCAGAGUGGAUCCUGAGUACGGCGGAACACGUGAAAUUCCGUCGGAAUCCGGGAGGACCAUCUCCCAAGGCUAAAUACUCCCUAGUGACCGAUAGUGAACCAGUACCGUGAGGGAAAGGUGAAAAGCACCCCGGAAGGGGAGUGAAACAGUUCCUGAAACCGUGUGCCUACAAGUAGUUAGAGCCCGUUAAUGGGUGAUAGCGUGCCUUUUGUAGAAUGAACCGGCGAGUUACGAUUUGUUGCAAGGUUAAGCGGAAAAAGCGGAGCCGUAGCGAAAGCGAGUCUGAAUAGGGCGCAUAAGUAACAGGUCGUAGACCCGAAACCAGGUGAUCUACCCAUGUCCAGGAUGAAGGUAAGGUAAUACUUACUGGAGGUCCGAACCCACGCACGUUGAAAAGUGCGGGGAUGAGGUGUGGGUAGCGGAGAAAUUCCAAUCGAACUUGGAGAUAGCUGGUUCUCUCCGAAAUAGCUUUAGGGCUAGCCUCGAGGUAAAGAGUCAUGGAGGUAGAGCACUGUUUGGACUAGGGGCCCUUCUCGGGUUACCGAAUUCAGAUAAACUCCGAAUGCCAUGUACUUAUACUCGGGAGUCAGACUGCGAGUGAUAAGAUCCGUAGUCGAAAGGGAAACAGCCCAGACCACCAGUUAAGGUCCCCAAAUAUAUGUUAAGUGGAAAAGGAUGUGGGGUUGCUUAGACAACCAGGAUGUUGGCUUAGAAGCAGCCACCAUUGAAAGAGUGCGUAAUAGCUCACUGGUCGAGUGACCCCGCGCCGAAAAUGUACCGGGGCUAAACAUAUUACCGAAACUGUGGAUGAACCUCUUUAGAGGUUCGUGGUAGGAGAGCGUUCUAAGGGCGGUGAAGUCAGACCGGAAGGACUGGUGGAGCGCUUAGAAGUGAGAAUGCCGGUAUGAGUAGCGAAAGAAGGGUGAGAAUCCCUUCCACCGAAUAUCUAAGGUUUCCUGAGGAAGGCUCGUCCGCUCAGGGUUAGUCGGGACCUAAGCCGAGGCCGAUAGGCGUAGGCGAUGGACAACAGGUAGAGAUUCCUGUACCAGUGCUAAUUGUUUAACCGAUGGGGUGACACAGAAGGAUAGGGAAUCGCACGAAUGGAAAUGUGCGUCCAAGCAGUGAGUGUGAGAAGUAGGCAAAUCCGCUUCUCGCGAAGCAUGAGCUGUGAUGGGGAAGGAAAUUAAGUACGGAAGUUCCUGAUUUCACGCUGUCAAGAAAAGCCUCUAGGAAGAGUAGUACUGCCCGUACCGCAAACCGACACAGGUAGAUGAGGAGAGAAUCCUAAGGUGAGCGAGAGAACUCUCGUUAAGGAACUCGGCAAAAUGACCCCGUAACUUCGGGAGAAGGGGUGCUCUAUUAGGGUGCAAGCCCGAGAGAGCCGCAGUGAAUAGGCCCAGGCGACUGUUUAGCAAAAACACAGGUCUCUGCAAAACCGUAAGGUGACGUAUAGGGGCUGACGCCUGCCCGGUGCUGGAAGGUUAAGAGGAGUGCUUAGCUUCGGCGAAGGUACGAAUUGAAGCCCCAGUAAACGGCGGCCGUAACUAUAACGGUCCUAAGGUAGCGAAAUUCCUUGUCGGGUAAGUUCCGACCCGCACGAAAGGCGCAACGAUCUGGGCACUGUCUCAACGAGAGACUCGGUGAAAUUAUAGUACCUGUGAAGAUGCAGGUUACCCGCGACAGGACGGAAAGACCCCGUGGAGCUUUACUGCAACCUGAUAUGGAAUGUUUGUACCGCUUGUACAGGAUAGGUAGGAGCCGAAGAGACGUGUGCGCUAGCAUACGAGGAGGCAAUGGUGGGAUACUACCCUGGCUGUAUGACCAUUCUAACCCGCCACGCUUAGCGCGUGGGGAGACAGUGUCAGGUGGGCAGUUUGACUGGGGCGGUCGCCUCCUAAAGAGUAACGGAGGCGCCCAAAGGUUCCCUCAGAAUGGAUGGAAAUCAUUCGCAGAGUGUAAAGGCACAAGGGAGCUUGACUGCGAGACUGACAAGUCGAGCAGGGACGAAAGUCGGGCUUAGUGAUCCGGUGGUUCCGCAUGGAAGGGCCAUCGCUCAACGGAUAAAAGCUACCCCGGGGAUAACAGGCUUAUCUCCCCCAAGAGUCCACAUCGACGGGGAGGUUUGGCACCUCGAUGUCGGCUCGUCGCAUCCUGGGGCUGUAGUCGGUCCCAAGGGUUGGGCUGUUCGCCCAUUAAAGCGGCACGCGAGCUGGGUUCAGAACGUCGUGAGACAGUUCGGUCCCUAUCCGUCGCGGGCGCAGGAAAUUUGAGAGGAGCUGUCCUUAGUACGAGAGGACCGGGAUGGACACACCGCUGGUGUACCAGUUGUUCCGCCAGGAGCAUCGCUGGGUAGCUAUGUGUGGCAGGGAUAAACGCUGAAAGCAUCUAAGCGUGAAGCCCCCCUCAAGAUGAGAUUUCCCAUUUCUUCGGAAAGUAAGAUCCCUGAAAGAUGAUCAGGUAGAUAGGUUUGGAGUGGAAGUGUAGCGAUACAUGGAGCGGACAAAUACUAAUCGAUCGAGGACUUAACCAAAA
rnacentral:rRNA from 1 species